CCUACGGGAGGCAGCAGUAGGGAAUAUUGCUCAAUGGGGGAAACCCUGAAGCAGCAACGCCGCGUGGGGGAUGAAGGUUUUCGGAUUGUAAACUACUUUUGUUGGAGAAGAUAAUGACGGUAUCUAACGAAUAAGCACCGGCUAACUCCGUGCCAGCAGCCGCGGUAAUACGGAGGGUGCAAGCGUUACGCGGAAUCACUGGGCGUAAAGAGAGCGGAGGUGGGAUAGCAAGUCAGAUGUGAAAUCCUAUGGCUUAACCAGAGAACUGCAUUUGAAACUGUUAUUCUAGAGUAUUGGAGAGGUAGGUAGAAUUCUUGGUGUAGGGGUAAAAUCCGUAGAGAUCAAGAGGAAUACUCAUUGCGAAGGCGACCUCCUAGAACAUAACUGACGCUGAUGCGCGAAAGCGUGGGGAGCAAACAGGAUUAGAUACCCCGGUAGUC
rnacentral:rRNA from 1 species